rnacentral:rRNA from 1 species
CUUUACUGUAUUCUGAAAUUGAAUUUAAAUUAUAUUUGCGCAGUAUAAGUGGGAGACUAAGAUAUUUUUUUUCGGAAAAGAUGGAGUCAAAAAUUGAGAUACCACUCUAAUAUAAUUAAAAUUCUAAUUUUAUACCAUUAACUGGUUAAAAGACAUUUUCAGAUGGACAGUUUGACUGGGGCGGUCGCCUCCUAAAAAGUAACGGAGGCGUACAAAGGUUUUUUCAAAUCGGUCAGAAAUCGAUUAUAGAGUAUAAAGGCAUAAAAAAGCUUAACUGUAAGACAAACAAGUCAAACAGAAACGAAAGUUGGUCUUAAUGACCUAACGAUACUAAAUGGAAAGGUCGUUAAUCAACGGAUAAAAGUUA